CAAAUCAGGUAGGACUACCCGCUGAACUUAAGCAUAUCAAUAAGCGGAGGAAAAGAAACUAACAAGGAUUCCCCUAGUAACUGCGAGUGAAGCGGGAAAAGCUCAAAUUUGUAAUCUGGCGGUCUUUGGCCGUCCGAAUUGUAAACUAGAGAAGUGUUAUCCGCGCUGGACCGUGUACAAGUCCCCUGGAAUGGGGCGUCAUAGAGGGUGAGAAUCCCGUCUUUGACACGGACUACCAGGGCUUUGUGAUGCGCUCUCAAAGAGUCGAGUUGUUUGGGAAUGCAGCUCAAAAUGGGUGGUAAAUUCCAUCUAAAGCUAAAUAUUGGCGAGAGACCGAUAGCGAACAAGUACCGUGAGGGAAAGAUGAAAAGAACUUUGGAAAGAGAGUUAAACAGUACGUGAAAUUGCUGAAAGGGAAACGCUUGAAGUCAGUCGCGUUAGCGAGGGAUCAGCCUUACUUUUGUGGGGUGUACUUCCUCGUUGAUGGGUCAGCAUCAGUUUUGGUUGCUGGAUAAAGAUCAGGGGAAUGUGGCAUCUUCGGAUGUGUUAUAGCCCUUGGUUGGAUACAGUGGCUGGGACUGAGGAACUCAGCACGCGCAAGUUGUGCUUAGGAUGCUGGCAAA
rnacentral:rRNA from 2 species